rfam:Triticum aestivum genome assembly, contig: Triticum_aestivum_CS42_TGACv1_scaffold_655260_T_4BS-0.234591_6BS-0.128638
UGGUGGAAUUCAAAGGACAGCAUGUCUACCUGAUACAAUCUUCCUAAAGUGAUACUUUCAUUUCCUUCUUGUGGUGUCGUUACGAAGUUCUACAAGUCUGAGAUGAGAAAACAUACAU